rnacentral:rRNA from 1 species
GACGAGCCACACGAACGUUAUUCGGAAUUACUGGGCUUAAAGGGUGCGUAGGCGGUGCGGAAAGUUGGGUGUGAAAUCCCUCGGCUCAACCGAGGAACUGCGCCCAAAACUACCGCACUCGAGGAAGAUAGAGGUGAGCGGAACUUACGGUGGAGCGGUGAAAUGCGUUGAUAUCGUAAGGAACACCCGUGGCGAAGGCGGGUCUCUGGGCCGAUACUGACGCUGAGGAGCGAAAGCGUGGGGAGCGAACAGG